UGCCCAGCAACUCCUAUCCCUACCUCCUCGCGGUACCGGCCCGAAACUAUGAGCAACCUUAACGGCCUAUAAGCAACCCUAUAGGGCCUACACCCCGGUGGGAACUUUGGUCAUAGGCUGACAGGGAAGG
rnacentral:ribozyme from 1 species